CAGGUUUACCUGUGUGACUGCGUACCUUUUGUAUAAUGGGUCAGCGACUUAUAUUCUGUAGCAAGGUUAACCGAAUAGGGGAGCCGGAGGGAAACCGAGUCUUAAUUGGGCGUUAAGUUGCAGGGUAUAGACCCGAAACCCGGUGAUCUAGCCAUGGGCAGGUUGAAGGUUGGGUAACACUAACUGGAGGACCGAACCGACUAAUGUUGAAAAAUUAGCGGAUGACCUGUGGCUGGGGGUGAAAGGCCAAUCAAACCGGGAGAUAGCUGGUUCUCCCCGAAAGCUAUUUAGGUAGCGCCUCGUGAAUUCAUCUCCGGGGGUAGAGCACUGUUUCGGCUAGGGGGCCAUCCCGGCUUACCAACCCGAUGCAAACUGCGAAUACCGGAGAAUGUUAUCACGGGAGACACACGGCGGGUGCUAACGUCCGUCGUGAAGAGGGAAACAACCCAGACCGCCAGCUAAGGUCCCAAAGUCAUGGUUAAGUGGGAAACGAUGUGGGAAGGCCCAGACAGCCAGGAUGUUGGCUUAGAAGCAGCCAUCAUUUAAAGAAAGCGUAAUAGCUCACUGGUCGAGUCGGCCUGCGCGGAAGAUGUAACGGGGCUAAACCAUGCACCGAAGCUGCGGCAGCGACGCUUAUGCGU
rnacentral:rRNA from 3 species